rnacentral:lncRNA from 1 species
UGCUGUUUAGGUCACUUCUUUAUAGGUUAUAAUCUCUGAAAAUCCACAAAUUAUACAGUUGGUUCAUAACUGCUAUUCAGGUCACUUAUUUAAAGGUUAAUACUUGCUUCAUCCAUUUAUGAAUGUGCAGGAAGGACUGUAAAACAGAGAAGGGGUUCAUUGCACAACAAAGAAGGGGUUCAUCAUGCUGUUUGGGUUGGUUUGGGCUAGCUCCGGUGACGGUGUUGUCGGCCUCAGCCACAAAUGUUGAAGGUAUCCCCCUCCCUUCUUCCCUUUGCUCUGCUCAUGUGUUCAUUUUGCUUGCUUUCCACAGGAUACUAUCCCAGCUUGUUGGCAAACAAGCUCAUUUCAUUUGCUUUGCACAUAUGUGAGUUAAAUAUGUUUAUACCAUAUAAAGUGAGCUAACCAAAGAUUGUUCCCUUAUCUGGUAGAGAGACUCGGCUGCGUUAUUGUAGCAGAAAACAAGAUAUUAAAAUAAUAAUCAUUAGUGCCAUUUUUUUACCUUCUCGAAGCAAAAUCUUGGUGCCAAAUUAACUAGACUGUUUGCUUCUAGUCAUGGAAACUAAAUAAAUUUUAUGGUUCUCAUUUUUCUUAGUAGAGGGGCUGUCCUUUCCCACAUAAUGACAUACCUCAAUAGAUUUUUUGAAUGCUCUGGGAGCUGGAAAGCGAUGUUACAUUCAGGCCUCUAACAUGGUCACUCCAUUGAGUUGUGAUAAAUUUAUUUCACCAAGUUGUCGUUCCAAUCUUCAGUUUGUGAAAUUGGUUGUCUGAUAUUUGUGAAAAUUAGAACUUAUGAACCAUGGUUAGUAAUAUGUGUAUAAUAUUUUGUGGACCUUCGAACUUUCUUAGGCAAGGCUAUUAUAUUACUAUCAUCUUAUAAUGUACUUUUGCUAAGAAAUUUUCAGGACAUUUCUCUGUACUGGUUGUUUCUGUGAGAGUAGACAAUAUGCAUGUUUAGGACAUGAUGUGAAGCUCGCAUCUGAUCAUCUAACUAAGAUAACUUGAUUUGAAUCAUUGAAGAUAGUUUUGUAAGGGCUUCUUAGUAAAUGUUUUUCUAGGACAGUACCUACCAAGCCCAGAACCAUGCUAUUUGUUGUGAUAGUUUCCCCUGAUCUAUAAGAUUUUUGUUCCUCCCUGAUGAUUUCCUUCUAAUCCAUUUCCCUUGAUGCUUUUGAUGUGCUUAAUCUUGUCUGUAGGAAUUGCAUUACAUUGAAUUUGAUGGAGAGCAACUUCUCCGAGAGAACUGAAAGAAUGAGCUGUGAGGUGGAGCUAAGGGGCUUUAAGAAACUUUUAUGUGUUGUUGAUGUAAAGUGGAGUGUGCUAGUUCCAAACUUGGAUCUGUUUUGUAUUUUCUCAACUGAUGUUGUAAAUUAUCAUUUCACUGAGGAUUUUGUAAACUAAAGUAUUGUAUAUACGGGUGGAUGCUUGUAUAAAUGCUACAUGAUCUGUGUAUUAUAUGUCAUUUUGGAAAUAUUGUCUUGGGUCGAAGUUGACAUUAUGAUCAGUGUAAUGCAUUAUGCUAAAAAAAGUGUUGUCUCAAAAUUGAACUGAAUUUAAAUGGGAUAAUUGGAUGGACACCAUUUAAAUAGCUUCUAAAUCCAUGACGGUUCUUGUGACGAAAAAUAAU